rnacentral:rRNA from 1 species
GCGGAGGAAAAGAAACCAACAGGGAUUGCCCUAGUAACGGCGAGUGAAGCGGCAACAGCUCAAAUUUGAAAUCUGGCUCUUUUAGAGUCCGAGUUGUAAUUUGCAGAGGGCGCUUUGGCUUUGGCAGCGGUCCAAGUUCCUUGGAACAGGACGUCACAGAGGGUGAGAAUCCCGUACGUGGUCGCUGGCUAUUGCCGUGUAAAGCCCCUUCGACGAGUCGAGUUGUUUGGGAAUGCAGCUCUAAAUGGGAGGUACAUUUCUUCUAAAGCUAAAUAUUGGCCAGAGACCGAUAGCGCACAAGUAGAGUGAUCGAAAGAUGAAAAGCACUUUGGAAAGAGAGUCAAACAGCACGUGAAAUUGUUGAAAGGGAAGCGCUUGCAGCCAGACUUGCUUACAGUUGCUCAUCCGGGUUUCUACCCGGUGCACUCUUCUGUAGGCAGGCCAGCAUCAGUUUGGGCGGUAGGAUAAAGGUCUCUGUCACGUACCUCCUUUCGGGGAGGCCUUAUAGGGGAGACGACAUACUACCAGCCUGGACUGAGGUCCGCGCAUCUGCUAGGAUGCUGGCGUAAUGGCUGUAAGCGGCCCGUCUUGAAACACGGACCAAGGAGUCUAACAUCUAUGCGAGUGUUUGGGUGUCAAGCCCGAGCGCGUAAUGAAAGUGAACGGAGGUGGGAACCCGCAAGGGUGCACCAUCGACCGAUCCUGAUGUCUUCGGAAGGAUUUGAGUAAGAGCAUGGCUGUUGGGACCCGAAAGAUGGUGAACUAUGCUUGAAUAGGGUGAAGCCAGAGGAAACUCUGGUGGANGCUCGCAGCGGUUCUGACGUGCAAAUCGAUCGUCAAAUUUGGGCAUAGGGGCGAAAGACUAAUCGAACUAUCUAGUAGCUGGUUCCUGCCGAAGUUU